GUAUCUAAAACUUUAAAAACCCCGUCCCCAAUUUCACAAAAAAUUGUGCGGCAAAACUUGGCGUUUCAUUCCUUGUUUGGCGCGAGCAAAAUUAUAAUAUAUUUAAUUAUUUUAUUUUACAAAAAUACAUCAAGCUACGUGUUUAAUAUAUCAUUACAUCCGUAUACCUAAAGUCGAUCUUCAGCCGACUUCAGUUCUCAACCCGCUUAAGCCCUCACGCCUUUUCCACCCUCGCAGAAGAUAGAGGCUAGCUCUUCCACCCUCUUCCACCAUCGCAGAAGACAGAGACUCUUCCACCUUCUUCCACAGCAAAGGCCGAAUGACCCAAUCGUUCCAACAGCCACUCUUAAUCAUGAGGGUUUCGAAAUUGCAAAAGGCUUAACAAUCGAAGGGGUAAAUUACAAAUCUGGUGUCGGCUUGUGGUCUGAGUUUGAAUCGCUGUGGGAAAUACAGGUUUGAGAUAUAACGAGUUUGACUUGUUAUGUGCUUGUUAAAAAACUCAUUAUGUGCUUGUUACACUAUGAAAUCACUUUGACAUAAUUUGAAUUCUGGGUUCUAUUUCUAUUUUGUUUGUUGUAUUGUGUUCAAUUUAGGAAAAAAGUCACAUUUACAGAAGCGAUUCUUUGUUGCUUAUGGCUAAUGGUAGUAAAUGUAUGAAUUCAAGUUUGCAAACAUGACAUUUUAACAUUUCAUUUUUUUUCUAAUGUGAAUCUCUCUACACUUGGUCGGAAGUUGUGAUUGAUACUGAAUAUUGUCAGUGGAUGUAUAAUGCUCCAUGUGCAAUGUUUUCUUAAAGCCUUUUAUUUGUUUAAUUUUCUUUUUCUUUAGUUGGAGGAUGCGCUGGCCUUACUAGGUUAUUAACUUUCUUGUAUAAUUUGGUAUAUGCUUGCUUGUUUGCUUGAUUGGUUUUCUAACUUGGAUUGUUCGGGGUAGUAAAAUAAAUUCGGGUUUAAAUUCAUGGUAAAUAGUUACACCCUCAUAUAAUUUUUUGGGUCAGUCCCUAGUGUUCCACAGGUUUGUAAGGUGGUGAAAAUUUUGAAACUGAUAUUGGAUGUGGUAAAUGUACAAGGUGGGGCUUGGGAUUGUUCUGGGAACGUUUUUGAAUGAGGUGAUGAAUUGAAAGCCAUGGCAGCCUGCGUUUCUUCCUAAGCCAUUUUCUAAGACUCGGGCUUAAAUACUAUGUAUAGAGGUCUUUCAUUGAUCAUAUGGAUAUAGUAGCUCUAUCUCCUGAUUUUCAAAUGUAUAUAUAAUUUUAAUAUAGCAUACCAACUAAAAGCAUAAAUAUUAAAUUCUUUUCCAUGAUAAAUCAGGUUACAAAUGAUGUAAAAACCACAAUUUCCAUCUGAUUGGAAUUUAAGAAACACAACAAUCUCUUUUGAUUUUAGCAACGACUAAAUAUCCUGCUGCUUAAAGAACAAUGCAAUCCAAUUAAACCAGUUGAUAAGAGUUUGUAUGUCUUUUGGGUAGUGAAGCCCAAUGUUCAUUGUUUAGUGUAUGUAAUAAGUAAGCUUUUUGAGACAUGAAAUGCACUGAUUCAGUUAAAUUUGUAAUCUUAUAUAUCAAAUUAAACUCUGAGUUAUGUAUUUAUAAAUAUGUUUGUUCUUCUUUUGACAUUGAUGAAUUAAUUAGUUGGUGUACACAUGUAAAAUUGACUCCUCAAAUGCAAUGAGAUUGCAUUAAUCUUUCACACUAUCUACCUCCUCCUAUUAACACCAUGGAAUGUAAAGUGAAAUGGAUUUGUGUGCUAGAUAUUUAUAUAGUGUUCUUGUUUUUCAUUUUACUAGUACUUUUUUUUGAAAAAAAAAAAAAAAAAUUCAUAGUUGAUACUCACACACACAUGCCUCCAUGGUGGCUUGAACCCUUGACCUCCCUUUGGGAUGUAAGGGCCUGAUACCGCUAGGCCACUGACCCGUUGGUAUUUUUUACUAGUACUUUGCUUUGCUUUGAAUCUUAGCUUUAGGAUCGAAGAGUAACUUCAAUAAUAAAUAUUUAAAGAACCAGUAACUAAUUGUAAAGAUAGCAAUAGAAUAUGAAGCUGAGAAAUUUGAGAUAUGUGUAAAUGUGAUAUUUUGUAGGAUAAUGCUGAGGAUAUUUUGUAGAAUAAUUCUAGAGAUUUAUUUUUUAUUUUAACGUAUGUUUAUUACUUAUUUAUAUAUAUAUUAGAUUAACAUAUGAAAUCUGAAUAGCAUCCCAGACUUCAAAAUCAGUUUUCAACUGUUGUGUUGGUUUACUGUUCUUGACCGGAAAUGUCGACACCCAUAUAUAAGCUCAACCUUCAACUUUCUGCUGCUCUUGGCCACUCAAAAUGAAUGCCAAGCAGGCAUGGAUAUCUGUAACACUUACUUUAAAUCCUCUCUUCUUUGUCUUGCCUUUUUUUUUGCUGGUGUUGGAAGUUUGAUUUUGUAGUGGUAGAUGAAACUUUUGCAGAUAUAUAGGCCUUUUUCUAAAUCUAGUGAUAGGAUUGUCAGCAUCUUUGAAAUGUUAAUUUCAGUAGUAGAGAUAAAUUCGAAUUGAUAAAUCAUUAAUGUGUUCACUGACUAUUAAUGAGUUUAGAAUAAUAAAGUGUGUCUAAUUAUUGUUGUUGAUCUAAAUAUAGUUGCUGAUCCCACCAAGCUUUAGGCCAACCUGUGCCCGUUGACAGUCCCAGCUUAAGACAAGAACUUUUCAAUUCCAUGAGUGCAGAAUGAGCUGAAAUGAUGGCAGCUUUCAGAUUACUAAAUAGUGCAUGGAAAGAUAAUGUUAUAAUAUAUAUAUAUAUAUAUAUAUAUAUUCUGUAAAUUUCAAGCACAAGGAACCAAAUUGUUCAGGACCUGUAUUUUUUUUCUUUUUCUUUUUCAGAUCUUCCAUUUUUUGGGUGAAGCAGUUGUUUUCUAGUGGGUAAAAAUCAUAAACAAUAUGUAUAUAUAUAUAUAUAUAUAUAUUGUGUUGUUUGUAGUGAAUGAUUCUGCAACUAGAUUUGGUUUCAACUUUCUUGAGAAGUCUACACUGUAAUACUUGUUGUUUUUCUGGUUCUAUUGUUUCAUAGACAAUUGCUAGAAUAUAAACUGUUUUGGACAAAUAUAUAACACUUACAAGAACUGGGUGAAAUAUUUUUGGCCUUUGAAGUCUAUUAAGGGAUUUUUGGCUGCACAAAAUAGAUUUUAGUUUGGAAUUAUAAUUAUGUGAAAUUUGAAUUUAAUGGGUCCAACUUACUUCAUCAUCAUAUUUUUUCUUUCUUACUUUAUUUAUUUUUUUUUUUAUUUAUUUUUUCUUGACAACUUGUACUCUUUUCUAUAUAAGAUAGUUGGACUAAUGAUUGUUUUAGUUUUAUAGUAGAAUUUUCCUUUUAGUCUAUUUGGUAAUUUUCUCUUUGACUCCAAUUUGAAUUUAAUAGAUUUUAGUUUGAAAUUAUAAUUAUGCGAAAUUCAAAUUUAAUUAGCUAGCAUUCAUAUAUUAUAUGUACUAUUAUGUGUGAAGUGUGAACCCCUUUACUUUUCCAUCUUUCAUUAAUGAAGGUGACAUUAUAUAAUAAGUUGCUGAUCAUUUUUUUUUUAAAAGAAGAAAUGUAUUUCUCUUGUAAUUAUUAUGUUAGAAUUUCCGUAUGGUUGAAGGUUGUCGGUGCUUGUGAAUCUCAAUUGUUAACAAUUAUUAGGGAAAGAUUAUAUAUAUUUUUUGUAGGGUUCAAUUAUAUACAAGAAGGCUCUCAUGCGGUCCAAAAUAAUGGACUUUUCAACAGACCAAAAGUCAAUUAGGAAAAUUACACUUUAUUACUUUAUCAGACCUAACCAUAACUAAUUUACCAUAAUUAUAUUUGUGACAUAAAAUUUGAGGGAAAAUGUUAUGCGUGAAAAAGUAAAUGGGAAUGAAAUUGAGCAAAUUGCCAAAAUUUGGAGAUUUUUCUUAUUUCAGUUUCAGUAUUGAGCUAUCGAGUUCCAAAAAAUCCAAAUUUAGAGACCUUUUAUUGUUUCCAUGGCACAAUUAAGCAAUAUAUGCUUUCUGUUUGAGACUCCAUUAUUAGAGGUUGUGCUUAUUCACAAACCCUAAAAAAUUGGUAUCUUUUGAACCAAAAAAAAAAAAAAAAAAAACUAAUUCAUGAAGUGUGGAAUAAUGGGUCGAUGAAAAAAAUAAUAAAUAAAAUAUAAAUAAGAGACCAACAGUCAAGCCAUCAAGGUAAAAAAAAAAAAUAAA